GGGAUAUUGCACAAUGGGGGGAACCCUGAUGCAGCGACGCCGCGUGGGUGAAGAAGCGCCUCGGCGCGUAAAGCCCUGUCAGCAGGGAAGAAAAUGACGGUACCUGAAGAAGAAGCCCCGGCUAACUACGUGCCAGCAGCCGCGGUAAUACGUAGGGGGCAAGCGUUAUCCGGAUUUACUGGGUGUAAAGGGGGCGCAGGCGGCGAUGCAAGCCAGGAGUGAACGCCCGGGGCCCAACCCCGGGACUGCUCUUGGAACUGCGUGGCUGGAGUGCAGGAGGGGCAGGCGGAAUUCCUGGUGUAGCGGUGAAAUGCGUAGAUAUUAGGAGGAACACCAGUGGCGAAGGCGGCUUACUGGACUGUAAAUGACGCUGAGGCUCGAAAGCGUGGGGAGCAAACA
rnacentral:rRNA from 1 species